GCAUAUCAAUAAGCGGAGGAAAAGAAAAUAACAAUGAUUCCCUUAGUAACGGCGAGUGAAGGGGGAUAAGCUCAAAUUUUAAAUCUACCAGGUUAACCUGGUCGAGUUGUAAUUUGAAGAAGCGUUUUCCGCGUUCGGGUCGGCCCAAAUCCUUUGGGAUAAGGUAUCAUGGAGGGUGAGAAUCCCGUCCGGUUGACCUUAUGACGUUUUACGAUACGUUUUCAAGGAGUCGAGUUGUUUGGGAUUGCAGCUCAAAAUGGGAGGUAAAUUUCUCCUAAGGCUAAAUAUUGGCGAGAGACCGAUAGCGAACAAGUACCGUGAGGGAAAGAUGAAAAGAACUUUGAAAAGAGAGUAAAAUAGUACGUGAAAUUGUUGAAAGGGAAACGAUUGAAGUCAGUCGUACCGACGAGAAAUCAGCUCUUUGAGUGCGAACUUGUGGGCGUGCGUGAGCUUUACGGCCUCGCUGUUUGCAAUGUUUGUUCUUUUUGGGUGUACUUUUUCGUAUGGUAGGCCAACAUCAGUUUCGAAUAUCAUAAAAUGACCGGAGGAAUGUAGCUUCGAUCUCGUAUUGAAGUGUUAUAGCCUUUGGUAGAUGUGGUGUUUGGGACUGAGGAUUGCAACGAAUAUCCUUUGGGCUAUCCGUCUGAUCUCUGAAAGUUGCUUAGGUGCCGAAAGCAUGCUUACGGUUAUUUAAGUUGACGGUCAAAAGGUUAGAACGUGAUUACAUUCGUUAAGGAUGUUGACGUA
rnacentral:rRNA from 1 species